rnacentral:tRNA from 1 species
GAGGCGCUAGUAAAAUUAUUACCUUGCCUUGUCGAGGCAAAAUAGUGGGUGAGACCCCCACGCGCCUUG